GACAGAGGAUGCAAGCGUUAUCCGGAAUCACUGGGCGUAAAGCGUCUGUAGGUGGUUCAAUAAGUCAACUGUUAAAUCUUGAGGCUCAACUUCAAAAUCGCAGUCGAAACUAUUGGACUCGAGUAUAGUAGGGGUAAAGGGAAUUUCCAGUGGAGCGGUGAAAUGCGUAGAGAUUGGAAAGAACACCAAUGGCGAAAGCACUUUACUGGGCUAUUACUGACACUGAGAGACGAAAGCUAGGGUAGCAAAUGGGG
rnacentral:rRNA from 1 species